rnacentral:lncRNA from 1 species
CUUUGUGAGGUAAUGUAUCCAAGUAAUAUAUAUGUGUAUCUACAAAUCUAAAUAUCCUCUUUUCUUCCAUUUUUCAUUAAACAUUCUCUGAUAUUCCUUAAGUAUUACACCCUUGUGCUGGUACAUCUUUGAAGUCACACAGCAACUAGGAACUCCAGACCAAACUAGAUUACCAUUUGGUGCAUAUAGUUGGCCGGUGCCAUGGCCCAGCAACAAGAAUGAUUAUAAUGGUCAGGUAGAGUAAGAUAAGCAAAUGAAGACCUUUUUCCACAUUAGAUAUUAGGAUAUGUAUG